rnacentral:rRNA from 1 species
AGCAGCCACGGUAAUUCCAGCUCCAAUAGCGUAUAUUAAAGUUGUUGCAGUUAAAAAGCUCGUAGUUGAAUUUCGGGGUUAGUAGGCUGGUCGUGCCACAGGUAUGCACUGGUCUUACUGAUUCCUCCUUCCUGAUGAACCGUAAUGCCAUUAAUUUGGUGUUGCGGGGAGUCUGGACUGUUACUUUGAAAAAAUUAGAGUGUUUAAAGCAGGCUAACGCUUGAAUACAUUAGCAUGGAAUAACGAAAUAGGACGUUCGAUCCUAUUUUGUUGGUUUCUAGGAUUGACGUAAUGAUUAAUAGGGAUAGUUGGGGGCAUUAGUAUUCAAUUGUCAGAGGUGAAAUUCUUGGAUUUAUUGAAGACUAACUACUGCGAAAGCAUUUGCCAAGGAUGUUUUCAUUAAUCAAGAACGAAAGUUAGGGGAUCGAAGACGAUCAGAUACCGUCGUAGUCUUAACCAUAAACUAUGCCGACUAGGGAUCGGAUGAUGUUAAUUUUUUAAUGACUCAUUCGGCGCCUUACG